CACACAUACACACCUACCACACACAUCACAUACACACCACACACACACACACCUACCACACACAUCACAUACACACACACUACAUGCCACACACACACCUACCACACACACAUCACACGAAUACACCACACUCCACACACACCACACACAAUCGCAUACACACUACAUGCCACACACACAUACACACCUACUAAUCACAUACACACACUAUAUGCCACACACACACACCUGUCACACACACCCCCACACACUCCCCCACAUACAUAUACCACACACACACCCCCACACAUACCACACACAUCAUGCCUCCCACACCCCCACAUACACACACUACACACAUCCCACAUACAUACCAUACAAACCUACACCACACACCCACUACACACACACCACACACAUUCCUCCACACCCCCACAUAUAUAUACUACACACACCACACACAUAUAUACCAUAUACACACCUACCACACACGCAUAACACACCCACACACACUAAUCACACCCUCAUAACCUGCCACGCCUGCACACCUCCAAAUCCAUACACAUUUACACAAGGACACACUUACAUGCCCUCCCCCAUCCUUACAGCACCCACACCUUUGUACAUAACAUACCCACACCCCCACCAUACACCACAUACACACACCACACACCACACACUCCCCAUAAACACACCACACAUAUACACACACAUGCACACCCACACACUGCACACACUAUAAACACCCGCACACAUACCACACACACACUCCCACAUCCCCAUGCCUCCCACCACACACACACACACAAACCCGCAUCCCCCCAUACCUCCCACACCACACACACACACACACACACA
rnacentral:lncRNA from 1 species